UGGCUCAGUGGUUAAGAGCACUGGCUGUUCUUCCAGAGGACCUGGGUUCAAUUCCCAG
rfam:Neotoma lepida isolate 417 scaffold_19, whole genome shotgun sequence.